CCUGGAGGUUUUAUGUAGGUUUUGUGAAAUUUGCCCUAGUUAUGCAAUGCUGGCAAACCCACAGUAAGGGAGAGUCUAUUAUUGGGCUGAUUUAUAAAAUUGUAGGCUGUCCAGACUGUGAUAUUCAUCUGUUUGGCAGGCAAUACUCAUGCAACCCUUAUAGAGAGUCUAUUAUUCUCAAUACCAAAGCAGAUGACUUGUUCUAGCUACAAAUACUGACAGGUUCUGGACGUCUUUUUUAUUAUUAUAUUAUGCUGCUGCACAUGACCUACACAUAAAACUAAAACAUUUUUCUUGUUCUAUAAUAGUAUAAAACACGGCAAAGCUGUUCUUUCUUGGCAAAGCGGCUGACAGCCCCUCAGCAACAGCUCGAGGCAUGCAAAGUAGUCUUGCACUUCCCUUUACCAUAUAUAGCUCAUACCGGCGCGCACAAGAGCAGACGGAAACGUGUCGGAGAAAUUAAAACCUUUCCCUGUAAUCAGAUGAGGACAAAUUAACGUUUAUUGCUUAGUUGACAUCUCCCGACUUAAAGGGAUAUAGCACCAACCAGUUGCGUAGAUUUCGAUGGGCGAAGAAAAGUCUGAGACGCACAGAAACAUCGCACAGCAGUGAAUGAGAAAUCCACAGAUAGUGAACGAGCAUGUCGACGCUGCUGGAUCUGAAGAGCAGUGUGCUGAGGCAGGUGCAGAGGAGCCAGUCCCUGAGGACCAGGAGGGAGCCACCGGCAAGCACCAGCGCUGGAGGGAGUCCCCCGCCGGUCACCCGCCGCUCUGGCACCGUCGUACACAGGGUUGCCAGGGGAAAUGGGGAGUUCUUUGACCACAUGAAUAAAAUCCUCCAGAAACAGGAUAGUCUGCUGUCUGCCGGCCAAACUGAGGUAACCACAUUCAUCAAAAGAUUGCAUCCCUGCUUUUACCCAGGUGUAUCCCUGUCACCACAUUCCCCCCGUGUGCUGAAGAAUCAGGUCAUAUUAGAGCAGUUCUUUCUCCUGAGCAUUGCUGAGGGAUUCGGCCAUCACAGAAACUCACCCUCCCUUUUCCCCUCAUAUAAAGACCGUGUCAAAGUUAAUGUGCUUGAAUUAGAUGUUUACUGAAAAGCGUUCCCCUCCCACUGUUCUAGCAGUAAAUGUUGAAAAGGACAGCGAUCAAUGCUAGCUGAGUAGAAUUUGCCUCCAAAUGGUUCUGGGUGAUAAAAACAGCAUUAACACUUAUAAUGGGUAGUACUGUAUACUCACUGUUGAAGAAUCCUACAGAAAUUGCAAUCUUAUGAUCUAAUCACGUAAUUAAUGUAUGAAAUUAUGCUUUUC
ensembl:lncRNA